AGUCGAGCGAGAACCCGUCUUCGGACGGGGGACAGCGGCGAACGGGGUAGGAAUACCUCGGUGACGUACCCUCCGGUCGGGGAUAGCGGCGGGAAACUGCCGGUAAUACCCGAUGACCUCCCUUGAUUUUAGCUUUGGGGAAGCAAAGGUGUGAUUCCGUCGGAGGAGCGGCUGAGGUCGUAUUAGCUGGUUGGUGAGGUAACGGCUCACCAAGGCGAUGAUGCGUAGGGGGUGUGAGAGCAUGGCCCCCACCACUGGCACUGAGACACUGGCCAGACACCUACGGGUGGCUGCAGUCGAGAAUCUUCGGCAAUGGGCGCAAGCCUGACCGAGCGACGCCGCGUGCGGGAUGAAGGUCUUCGGAUUGUAAACCGCUGUCGGAGGGGAUGAAAUGCAGGGGGGUACUCCCCUCUGUUUGACAGAGCCUCGGAGGAAGCACGGGCUAAGUUCGUGCCAGCAGCCGCGGUAAUACGAACUGUGCGAACGUUAUUCGGAAUCACUGGGCUUAAAGGGUGCGUAGGCGGCGGCACAAGUCAGGUGUGAAAUCCCCCGGCUCAACCGGGGAACAGCGCUUGAAACUAGGUCGCUCGAGUGAGGCAGGGGUGUAUGGAACUUCCGGUGGAGCGGUGAAAUGUGUAGAUAUCGGAAGGAACGCCGGCGGCGAAAGCGGUACACUGGGCCUUGUCUGACGCUGAGGCACGAAAGCUAGGGGAGUGAACGGGAUUAGAUACCCCGGUAAUCCUAGCCGUAAACACUGAGCACUGGAGGAGAGGGGCUUCGGCCUUUCUCCUCGCAGCGAAAGCGUUAAGUGCUCCGCCU
rnacentral:rRNA from 1 species